rnacentral:rRNA from 1 species
AACGAACGCUGGCGGCAGGCUUAACACAUGCAAGUCGAGCGCCCCGCAAGGGGAGCGGCAGACGGGUGAGUAACGCGUGGGAACGUACCUUUUGGUUCGGAACAACUCCGGGAAACUGGAGCUAAUACCGGAUAAGCCCUAACGGGGAAAGAUUUAUCGCCGAAAGAUCGGCCCGCGUCUGAUUAGCUAGUUGGUGAGGUAACGGCUCACCAAGGCGACGAUCAGUAGCUGGUCUGAGAGGAUGAUCAGCCACACUGGGACUGCGACACGGCCCAGACUCCUACGGAGGGCAGCAGUGGGGAAUAUUGGACACUGGGCGCAGGCCUGAUCCAGCCAUGCCGCGUGAGUGAUGAAGGCCUUAGGGUUGUAAAGCUCUUUUGUCCGGGAAGAUAAUGACUGUACCGGAAGAAUAAGCCCCGGCUAACUUCGUG